UGCAACACUGCGGCGUGCUAAUCAUGCAAGUCGACGCACGAAGUUGAAGAGCUUGCUCUUUACCAAGUGAGUGGCGGACGGGUGAGUAACACGUGGGUAACCUGCCCAUUAGAGGGGGAUAACAUUCGGAAACGGAUGCUAAUACCGCAUAGUUUCAGGGAUCGCAUGAUUCUUGAAGGAAAGGUGGCUUCGGCUACCACUAAUGGAUGGACCCGCGGCGUAUUAGCUAGUUGGUGAGGUAAUGGCUCACCAAGGCAAUGAUACGUAGCCGACCUGAGAGGGUGAUCGGCCACACUGGGACUGAGACACGGCCCAGACUCCUACGGGAGGCAGCAGUAGGGAAUCUUCCGCAAUGGACGAAAGUCUGACGGAGCAACGCCGCGUGAGUGAAGAAGGUUUUCGGAUCGUAAAACUCUGUUGUUAAAGAAGAACAAGGAUGAGAGUAACUGCUCAUCCCCUGACGGUAUUUAACCAGAAAGCCACGGCUAACUACGUGCCAGCAGCCGCGGUAAU
rnacentral:rRNA from 1 species